GUUUUUCUCCUUUUCUGACAGGCAGUUUGUCACAGUUUAUUGGUUAUUCCUGCCCGAAGCCAGAGCUUUGACAUCAUGCAAAGUGCCAUCAGUAAGCAUUUGGUUGGGUUGACUGUAAUUCCUGACAGCACAGCUGGCUGUAUAUUUGGA